rnacentral:rRNA from 1 species
UACGUAGGUGGCAAGCGUUGUCCGGAUUUAUUGGGCGUAAAGGGCUCGUAGGCGGUCUGUCACGUCGGGAGUGAAAACUCAGGGCUUAACCCUGAGCCUGCUUCCGAUACGGGCAGACUAGAGGUAUGCAGGGGAGAACGGAAUUCCUGGUGUAGCGGUGAAAUGCGCAGAUAUCAGGAGGAACACCGGUGGCGAAGGCGGCUCUCUGGACCGGUACUGACGCUGAUCUGCGAAAGCCAGGGGAGCAAACGGG